GACACUUUGGCGGAGUGGUUAACGCGAUGCCCUGCUAUCCGGCUAAGGCAUUUCUUUCGAGGUAAGCCAAGGUUGUAAAAAGUUAGACCUCAAGUGACUAACAAUUUGACAGAGCGCAGGUUCGAAUCCUGCAGGUGUCG